UGGGAGGUAGCUCAAUGGAAGAGCACUGCUUAUCGGAGGCAGGGUUGUAGGUUCGACUCCUACCCUCCCAG
rnacentral:tRNA from 5 species